ensembl:lncRNA
AAAUUUAUUUUUAUUGAAAAAAUGAAAUAAAAGUUCCUUUUAGGAUCCUCCGAAAUCACGGUUAUGAAUCACCUAUCAGGAGAUGAAUUUUUCAUGGAGACGUAGAUAACAUUCCUAUUGCAAAAAUAGGUGUAGCUAAAAAGAUAAACUAUUAAAAGAAAUUUGGAUGGAACAAGGCUUGACUGGGCAGUAAAUCUCAAACACCAGUGAGUUUCAUUCCUAAACGCAGCCUCCAAAGACACAGAAAAGAGCCAUCAGGUUGUGCAAACUGGAAUGAGCUGGUUAGAUUCCAUUGCCAGACAAGCAACAGGCUGGCCGUGUGCCGACUCUCAGAGAUAUCGAUCCCCACUCAAUCAGACCUUCUCCCACCCAAAGAAUAAAGGAGAAAAAAGCCCUGAAACUAAGGAAGACCUUCCUCAGCUUCCAGGGGUUAUAUUUCUAAGUUUUCUUGGUUGAAAGCUCUCAGGCAUCUCUCCUAAAGAAACCAGCCCAGCUGAUACACUCUUGUCAAUGCAGCCAUGGCUUACUCACAGCACAUCCAACUAUUUAACAUGUAUUUCUUGCAACAGGAAAGAAGAUGCAGAACCAUCAUUAAUUUAUAGUUGUGUUCUCAGGAUAUAGCAGUUAUCUAUUGCUAAAAUAACACUGUGUAACAAACUGCCCCAAAACUCACUGUCUUGACACAAUAGAUAAUUAUUUCAGCUCAUGAGUCUAGUUGGCUGGACAGUUCUGGUCAUCACAAGACGUCAGCUGGAAUGACUGGGAGAUUCAGUUCUGCUCCAUGUGUCUCUCAUGCUCACCCCUGGGACCAGCGGGCUUGGGAGAUUCAGUUCUGCUCCAUGUGUCUCUCAUGCUCUCCCAUGGGACCAGUGGGCUAGCCUUGGAAUGUCCUUCUCAUGGCAGUGGCAAAGGACAAGAGCAGACAGGCCCACCAUCAAGCAUUUUCAUGCCUCUACUUGUGUCACACUUGCUAACAUCCCAUUGGCCAAAUCAAGUCACAUGGCUGUCCAGAGUCAGAGAAGGAGGGCUCCGCAAAGUCACAUAACAUGGUUCUGGGAGAGGUAAAGAAUCAGUGCCAUUUUUACAAACUGCCAAAGGAGACAGCCAUGAAGAUGAUGAUAAAGGCAGUCUUGGGUCUAAUUAGCUGGUAUUUGGACAAGAGAAAGCAGCAGGAUUUAUUUAUCCAAUGUAGUUACAUUUUUUUACUUUUCCAUAAGUGGUUUUUGUUUAGAAGGAGGAUGGAAAUAGAAGCCUCCUGUGGACUUGGAUGUCAACUAAGAAAGAUUCAGAUACCCAAGGAAAUGAAGGAAGAAGAGAAGAUUUUAAUACCUAACAAGGAAAAAUCACAGCGUCUGCUGCCACCCCUGGGGAGAUGGACUCCUGCCUAAGUAACUGGCAAAAAGGGUCUGCUCAGCACCAGUGUUUUGCCAAGAAAUCUUCAAGGUGACCUGAUGCAGGAACUUCAGGCUCGGGGGAGGAGGACGGAGUAUUCCACUGAGCAAAGCAAAGCCCUGGCCUCAGCGAGCUUACAGUCCAGUGGAGGAGAUUGGUUUUGUCAUAGAACCAAGCAAUCAAAUGUGAAACUGCAAGGGUAGGGCGCAUGAAGGUUGAGGAUGUGAACCUCUGGGAGCAUAUAAUAGAAGGGGGUGGGAGAUCAGGGAAGGCUUCCCUGAGGAGGCGAUGGUUGACAGCCAUCUGGAAGACCCUUGGGAGUUAACUAGAUGCAGGAUGGGUUUGAGACAGGAGACAAAAGUAGAGCAUUCCAGCAAAGGAGACACACUUGUACAAAAGCCCUAUGGUGGGAGGGAGAAUGACAAACUCUGAGGAGUCAUACUUGCCCAUCUCCUGCUCCAUUCGAUCUUAAGAAAAAGACAGAAAUCUCUACCCUGACUUCAAGCCCGGCGUGAUCUAGUCCCUGACUGCCCCAUCUCCCUCCAAUCCUCGUCCACCUCUCACGCUUCUACCUUCCAGCGAGGCCAAACUCAACCCCAAACCCGUCUGUGGGACUCCUUAUAGGGAAAAGAAAGGAAUCUCAUUUGUGGGGCAUCUAGCCAGAUAUCAUGGUAGAUACACUGUAUUUAUACACACACACACGUACACACCACCGUAAUCACAAUAUUUCCUAUGAGGUAAAGGCUGGCGUUGCCUGCAUUUCACAGGAGGGGAAGUUGAGGCUUGGUGUGGAUAAGCAACAAGACAAAGACCACACAGACUCGGGGGUGGAACUGGGAUUCAAACCCCAGUGGUCUGACGCCAGAACCACAACGAACGUGCUAUACUCCUUCCCUCCCACAUGGUGGAAGUUGGGAAGAGGAGAUGGGUGAGGUCUUGGGACGGCCAUCAGCGAGACCCGAUACAGUUCUCUCAUACCAAGCCCAUUCGAUUGGUAGUGGCUGCCUAGAAUGCAGUGUCGAAAAGGGCUGUGAAGCCACAUCCCGGCCUCCAGGACAGUUCACUGUGAUUGAUUAGCAAUGUCUGCCAUGAGCACAGGACAGGGAAGGGUCAGCACAAGUGCUGGGUAUUUUCUGUCCCAGGACCAGCUGAAUAUAUCCUCUGGAUUCCUCUCUCCAGUCCAAAUUUGGGAAGUGUGGACCAGAGUUCCUUCUCCAUAAGACUUUCCUCGGCAUUCUCCAGCUGCUCCAGGGCUCUAUUCCAGAGAUCUCAACUCAACUGCAG